rnacentral:rRNA from 1 species
CGCCAUCAGUACUGAGCUAACACUGACGACAUGGUUCUACAGAAACCAGGAUUAGAUACCCUAUUAUAUUUAACAUUAAUUAAUUUGCCUGACUAUUAAUAGUUAUAUACUUUAAAAUCAAAGAAUUUGGCGGUAUUUUAGUCCAACUAGAGGAACCUGUUUUAUAAUCGAUAAACCUCGUAAUAUCUUACUUGUUUUAAUAAUUUGUAUACCGUCAUUAUCGGAUAACAUUGGAAAGUUAAGUUAUUGAAAUUAAUUUUUUUAAGUAAAUUAGAUCAAGGUGCAGUUUAUGAACAAGAAAAAAUGGGUUAACAAUAAAAAAUUUUUUAGUACGGUAUUAUUUUUGCAUAAAAUAUAAGAAGGUGGAUUUAUUUGUAAUUUCUUUUAAAAAGAAGUUUUGAAUGUGGCUCUAAAAUAAGUACAUAUCGCCCGUCGCUAGACCAAGUCUCUGCUACCGUAUAGCUCAGUACUGAGCGGGCUGG